GACGAACCGUGCGAACGUUGUUCGGAAUCACUGGGCUUAAAGGGCGCGUAGGCGGUCUGCCAAGUCGGGGGUGAAAUCUUUCGGCUUAACCGGAAAAGGGCUUUCGAUACUGGCAGACUUGAGGGAGGUAGGGGCAGAUGGAACUUCCGGUGGAGCGGUGAAAUGUGUUGAUAUCGGAAGGAACGCCGGUGGCGAAAGCGAUCUGCUGGACCUCUACUGACGCUGAGGCGCGAAAGCCAGGGGAGCAAACGGG
rnacentral:rRNA from 1 species